UACAGAGGGUGCAAGCGUUGUCCGGAAUCACUGGGCGUAAAGGGCGCGUAGGCGGCCUGAUAAGUCGGGGGGUGAAAUUCUGCGGCUUAACCGCAGAACGGCCUUCGAGACUGUCGGGCUUGAGCACGGUAGAGGCUGGUGGAAUUCCCGGUGUAGCGGUGGAAUGCGUAGAGAUCGGGAAGAACAUCGGUGGCGAAGGCGGCCAGCUGGGCCGUUGCUGACGCUGAGGCGCGACAGCGUGGGGA
rnacentral:rRNA from 1 species